GUGAACUUUUGGUGGAGGUGCCCGACUCUCUGUUCUGACGCUCAGCCCACUCUAACGGUCCUGCCGCCCUCCAGAGAUGAGUUGAAGCAGGGUAAAGCUACAGUCAUGUGUGUGGGCAGUAAAGGAUUUCCCUCUGACUGGCAGCUGAGCUGGAAGGUGGAUUCUAGCAGCAGGAACUCAGCAUCUUCAAAGAUGUCACCCUUUGCCUAGAAUUUGCAGAAAUGUACUCUUGACAUUUUCUCAAGCAACUUCUUGAUGUAUCACCCCGAGAUCAUUUUUAAACAGUAUUGAAGGAGUUCCCGUCUAUGUUGGGCACUUAUAGGCUGAUUUUCUUUAUUAUCUGGUCCAAAUCAUCAAUUUCAAAAACUCUUUUUUAUAUAAAAUAUUUGUUUUAUAAUGAAACAAAUUAAUAUGAUGGCACAAUUAAAUUUUUGUCUACAAAACUAGAUUAAAAUAUUGAAGCAUACGCCUUCAGAUCAAAAAAUCUUUAAGAUCACGAGAAACAUUUCAGUCAAGUGUUUCAAAACGUUUGACCGAUUGUGUAUCUUAAUGUUUUCUUUAUGCUUUUGUUUCAAUACAGAUAACAGAUAAUUCAUAUUAUCACAGUCUGUUUUUAAUACUAU